AAUGAAGUGUCUGAGAAAAAGAGUUAUUUUGAUAGAAUAAAAUAUGUAAAAAUUUUACCUUCAUUA
rnacentral:tRNA from 1 species